GACGAACGCUGGCGGCGUGCUUAACACAUGCAAGUCGAACGGAGUGGCGAACGGGUGAGUACCACGUGGGUGAUCUGCCUUGCACUUCGGGAUAAGCGUGGGAAACUGGGUCAAAUUCCGGAUAGUGCAAGAUGAUCUCGCGGCCUAUCAGCUUGUUGGUGGGGUAAUGGCCUACCAAGGCGUCGACGGGUAGCCGGCCUGAGAGGGUGUACGGCCACAGUGUGAUUGGGGUGCUGGCCGUACUCCUUCGGGAGGCAGCGGUGUGGAAUUGUGCACGCUGCGCGGAGGCCUGAAGCAGGGACGCCGCGUGGGGGAUGAAUGUCUUCGGGUUGUAAACGCCUUGCGACAGGGACGCGGUACCUGUAUAGGAAGCACCGGCUAACUACGUGCCAGCCGCCGCGGUAAUUC
rnacentral:rRNA from 1 species